rnacentral:lncRNA from 10 species
CUUUAAUUUAUGAAUAGAAUUUGAAAGAGAAUUGUCUAGUAGAAGGAGUCACUUAUGUACGCAAAAUAUAUUUAUUGAAUUCAUUUCAUGUGCUAGUGAGUGUCCUAGACACUGGAGAUACAAGGUGAACGUAACAAAAAUGUUCAUUGAACUUGCAUUCUGGAUCUUCUGUAAAGGUGACACAGACAAUGAAUUCUGGCCAUAUCAGCUGUUUUACUUAGUUCCCCUGUUGAGGAUUCACCAGUCAUUGCAAGUCCCUGGAAACCUACCACCUGCAGCUUGCUCACUGGGGAGUGAUUUGGCUUGCUGUGUAUAAAGGGUCUGAAUGAAUUUUAAAACUCUUGAAUCUACCCUAUAUGAUGUUUAUGAGAAGCUAAAAUUCAUUUUGAACAUUUACAAAAAGCUUUUGUUACUAUUAUGUUUAACCCUUUCUGCUGGAGCAAAAUAAAUGGAACGUUUCUGCUAUCUCGCUCUGCUAAGUUUAUCAGGUCCUGCUGGAGUGGGCGUAUAUAGAUGAGGACCCCAGGAGCUAUACAACAAUAAAAGAGAAAUCAUUAGGUUUUUUUUUCUCCCGUGCACAUUGUCCUAUUAUGUUCUGGCUGGAGGCUGGGGGAGUUAGAUAUCCUGCCUGUUCUUGGUAGAAUUAUUGCUUUGGGGCGCAAGGUCUGGG